GUGCUCACUUCAGCAUCACAUAUACUAGAAUUAGAACGAUACAGAGAAGGUUAGCAUGGCUCCUGUGCGAGGGUGACAUGCAAGUUUAUGGAGCGUUCUGUGCUUUU
ensembl:snRNA U6 U6 spliceosomal RNA